CCUACGGGAGGCAGCAGUGAGGAAUAUUGGUCAAUGGACGCAAGUCUGAACCAGCCAUGCCGCGUGCAGGAAGACGGCUCUAUGAGUUGUAAACUGCUUUUGUACGAGGGUAAACGCAGAUACGCGUAUCUGUCUGAAAGUAUCGUACGAAUAAGGACCGGCGAACUCCGUGCCAGCAGCCGCGGUAAUACGGAGGAUACAAGCGUUAUCCGGAUUUAUUGGGGUGAAAGGGUGCGUAGGCGGUCGGAGAAGUUAGAGGUGAAAUUCCGAGACUCAACUUCGGAAUUGCCUCUGAUACUGUUCGGCUAGAGAGUAGUUGCGGUAGGCGGAAUGUAUGGUGUAGCGGUGAAAUGCUUAGAGAUCAUACAGAACACCGGUUGCGAAGGCAGCUUACCAGGCUACUUCUGACGUUGAGGCACGAAAGCGUGGGGAGCAAACAGGAUUAGAUACCCGGGUAGUC
rnacentral:rRNA from 1 species